UCCGAGGCAGCCAGCCAGCCAGCCAGCCAGCCAGCCAGCCAGCCGGUGCAAGAACAAGAACAGUUAUUGUUUACGGAUAGCGAAUUAUAUUCUGUAUUUACCGUUACUAAGGUGAAUCGAGCUGAUUGUUCUUCAUAUUACUAUCCGAGUUUUUUAUGAGGCGCGUGUGUGCAUUGGGAAGGUUUGUGAAGAAAGUGUUGGUCAGUGCCAUAAAGUUUGAAUCGCAAGAGACGGCCGUUGUUCACUAUUGAAGUUUUUGGCAUUUACGGAGCACGGCGCCAAUCAGGAUUCGUUCUCAUCAUGACAACGGGGAUGUGCGUUUUAAUUGCUGAUGGUGCAUUUCUUCUUGAGAGUUUGUGGCCCUCUACAGUCCAGACUGUGUGCAACUGCUUCUAGCCUAGCGAGCAACAGGUCAAGGAUUCUUUUUAUGCAGAGGCCUAGGUGUCGUUGUGAUGUCGUUCUUACUGGAAUGCAACUGUUCAGAUUGGGCCGCUGGUUUCCACCUCGAGACUAUAUCAUUAUUUAAUUGGAGAUAAAACUAUUUUGUCAGACUGAUCGGAAUUCUGCGGACUGUGUAGACUUGUGUGAUGGUUUGCUCGCUGAGGUAAUCAGCUCGCUUUCACAAUGCCCUGGUGUCCUCAGUCUUGAGAUACUUAGAGAUCAGACCAACGAGUAAGGUUAGCGGGAUUUUAGGAGCCGCCUGGUCUCCAUUCGAUGGAUGGGGGCUGUUUCAAAAUCAGUAACUUAUGACAUUAUGAGGAGGGAGAGAGCGUGUCCAGAGAUUACCAGACAAAGAGAAGGAGACUUACAUGAGAACUUCAGGGUGCAGCUGCUGCUGCUGCGAAACUAAUUUGCUUUGAGAUCAUCACAAGAUAGUUGAGUCUGCCUCCGUGAAGGUUUAGAGCUAUGCUCUUUCAUGUGACUAGACUGCAUUCAUCCCAUUGGAUCUUCACUAAUGGCCUCAGUUCUACUCUCCAUCAGUCAGUGCUGAGCAAUGAUCAUAUCGAGUUGUGUAGUAGGGUAGGUCAACUGAGUCAAUUUGGAUUCAGGUGAAGGGAAGUGGGCAUAUCUUGGGAAAGGAGUCACCGUCACCAAUAGAGCUUGUUCCAUUUGCUACAUGAAGUAUUGGGAGGCUAUAGUUUCAAUUAAAAAGAGGCUGCGUUCCCAAUGAACGUCUUGGUUUAGAUUGAGAUAUAAUGCAUUGUACAGCUUAACCUUUUAAUCAAUCCAUGACUUGUGUCCUGCGUUUAAUGUGGCGCACCCUUCUUCCCUCCAAAUACUUCCUGGUCUGAUCCCUCCUCUGCACUUUCCACCAAUUGUCUGUCCAAUCCAGUGGGCAAGUCUCUUCUUGAGGCUAAGAUUGUGACGCGCGAUCUGCUGGCCUGGCUCUGCGUCAAUGUGUUGCUGCCUUUACUGGGAUACAAGUUACGGAGUUGUGUAGCUGAAUGCACCAGCAUUGAUCCUAAUCUUUAGUAAAAAAAGUCCUCUCAUUGUGAUUAGGUAAUGAAAAAGCACCCCUCGGUCUCUCCUAUUGUUUUGCCCAGGCCACUGAUUAUCUCUGUAUUGUAGAGUUGGCCAGAAACUGUUUUCAGGUGCCAAAUUAUUUUUAUUUUUACUAUCAUAAUUAUAUCUGAGUGCUUGUCAGACAGCAGUUUAAGUAUGACUCUAAUAUAUGUGGAAAUUGGGCAUGGAUACAGCCAUGGACUGCCACCGGUGAAAGCCAUUGAACUGAGCAGCCCUCUUAGUGAAAGAGAAGUGCAUUUGUGAUGUUUUCCUCAGCUUUUGGCCCUGCAUGUAGGGAAACUGUGUGUUUUCAGGAUAAUCUUUGUAAAUGUUUGUAACCUACUCUACUUUUAUUGAGAUGAUCGACAAAUUUCUUUGUAAGCGCUGGCCACAGCAGAAGCAGUGGGGCGCCAACGUAGGAUUUGACCCAACUUGGUCACAAUCUCAUUUAAAGCAUUUUAUUCAAAGCAUUUGUUGAGAACAAUAGAUGGAGAAUUGAAUGUUGAUCCAGUUUGUGCUUGGGGGAAAGGGAGGCAUUUACAGGCAAUAUUAGUUUUUUUAGCUUUUUUUAUUUAACUAUAGGAUGACUCUCUCUAUGUAUCAUUGAGGUCGACUCACAUGCUCCGACUGAUUUUCCCACCGAGUAAUUGAGAUCCUCAGUUUCCUCAUCGGGUAGUCAGUGCUGGGCAAUGAUCAUAAAGAGUUGUGUAGCCUGCUAGGUCGCCUGAGUCUAAUGAGAUUCAAGCGAAGGGAAGUGGGUCUAUCUUGGGGGAUGAUUUUGCCGGAGUGAGAAGCCAAUGAGCAUUCAUGGCCAUGCAUCUUUCACAGCUUUUGGCACUGCUUGCAGGGAAACUGUGUGAUGUUUUCAGGAUAAUCUUUGUAAAUGUUUGUGUCCUGCUCCAAUUUUAUUAAGAUGAUCGACAAAUUUCUUUGUAAGCGCUGGCCACAGCAGAAGCAGUGGAGUGCCAACGUGGGAUUUGAUGGGAAACUCAGUCAUGGGGCUGGAGUGAGAGCCAAUGAGCAUUCAUGGCCAUGCAUCUUUCACAGCUUUUGGCACUGCUUGUAGGGAAACUGUGUGAUGUUUUCAGGAUAAUCUUUGUAAAUGUUUGUGUCCUGCUCCAAUUUUAUUAAGAUGAUCGACAAAUUUCUUUGUAAGCGCUGGCCACAGCAGAAGCAGUGGAGUGCCAACGUGGGAUUUGAUGGGAAACUCAGUCAUGGGGCUGGAGUGAGAGCCAAUGAGCAUUCAUGGCCAUGCAUCUUUCACAGCUUUUGGCACUGCUUGCAGGGAAACUGUGUGAUGUUUUCAGGAUAAUCUUUGUAAAUGUUUGUGUCCUGCUCCAAUUUUAUUAAGAUGAUCGACAAAUUUCUUUGUAAGCGCUGGCCACAGCAGAAGCAGUGGAGUGCCAACGUGGGAUUUGAUGGGAAACUCAGUCAUGGGGCUGGAGUGAGAGCCAAUGAGCAUUCAUGGCCAUGCAUCUUUCACAGCUUUUGGCACUGCUUGUAGGGAAACUGUGUGAUGUUUUCAGGAUUAUCUUUGUAAAUGUUUGUGUCCUGCUCCAAUUUUAUUAAGAUGAUCGACAAAUUUCUUUGUAAGCGCUGGCCACAGCAGAAGCAGUGGAGUGCCGACGUGGGAUUUGACCCAACUUGAUCACAAUCUCAUUUAAGGUGCCGCAGUGAGAAGCAAUCAACAUUUGAUCCAAAGUGGACACACAUGCUUGGAGGCUAAAGUUGAUACAGGGCCUUGCUCGUGAGACUGGAUUGUGCAUUUCCAACUGGAUAACUUCUUCACCUCGGCAUGACUGUAUUUACAACUCCUCUUCUUCGUGCUGGAUUUUGGAGGAGGGCAAAUCACCAGUAUUGUUGGCAAACAGAAUGUGAUGAUAUCCUUUUACAGUCAAUUAAUCCAAGAGGCAAUUAUCUGGGGUAGUUGGUGCAUGGAUCAGCUGUCAGGUUACUGUGGGAUGGAAGCUCUUGUUUGUCUGAGAGGACUCUGGGUUCACUUUGGUGCUGUUGAAACAGCUCUGUUUUAAAGCAUUUGUUGAGAACAAUAGAUGGAGAAUUGAAUGUUGAUUCAGUUUGUGCUUGAGGGAAAGGGAGGCAUUUACAGGCAAUGUUAGUUUUUUUACCUUUUUUUAUUUAACUAUAGGAUGACGCUCUCUAUGUAUCAUUGAGGUCGACUCACAUGCUCCGACUGAUUUUCCCACCGAGUAAUUGAGAUCCUCAGUUUCCUCAUCGGGUAGUCAGUGCUGGGCAAUGAUCAUAAAGAGUUGUGUAGCCUGCUAGGUCGCCUGAGUCUAAUGAGAUUCAAGCGCAGGGAAGUGGGUCUAUCUUGGGGGAUGAUUUUGCAUCUCCAAUAGAUACACAAAUCGUUUUCUAACUUCAAUCGCCUGCUUGAUUACUGUCUGGUUUUCUCGGCACUUUCUGGUCGCUUAUUCAACACCGCUGUGAAGAAUUUUAUCGGGUCAUCAUUCCGACUGCCCAGUGCCAAGUGAACUUUCCACCGCAGGCCUUCAGAGUGGUUUCUUUAACGCUCUCCUUUUUAUGCCUGUGCUCCAUGACGCAGCUAUCAUCUUUGCCACUGAUUAGAGGCCUCAGCCUAACAGGAAGCUUUCCCAAUGUAAUGCAGUCUGUGAACACCCAAUGGGUUGAGAUUGGAUCGAACGGAGUGGAUUUGAUAGGAACAGGCCAACAUCAGGCUUAAAGUUAGUCUGUGUCUGGGACAGAGGAGGGGCUCUGCCUCUUUCUGGAACUGGCUCACUGGAUUGCAUUCUUCCCAUUGGGCACCUAUGGCCUCAUUAAAUCUACUACUCUUCAUCUUCCCCCUGGACUCAAGGGGCACAACAGGAGCACAACUCACCAGGAUUGUUGGCUAGGAAGAUGUGAUAAUAACUAUUUACUCUACUCAGUUUUAAAAAUAGACUUAAGGAGCUAUCUGGUGCCUGUCCCAAAUUGUUUGGGACAUGUGUGUUGGAAAUUUGGAUUACAGCAGAGCCAACUUUGGGCAAUUUCACAUGGCCUACUGAAACUGGCCUAGUUUUUCAGACUGAUGUGCAUUGUUGACAUUUUAAUUAGGAAAUUGCUGUAGCGAGGUCCUCGGAAUAAGACCCCUGCCCCCCCCUCUCCCUCUCUCUCUCUCUCUCUCUCUCUCUCUCUCUCUCUGCCGCCCCAGGUGCGAGCCGUGGCAACGAGCCUUGGCAACCCUAGUGGGUCCUUUACUAUAGGCUUAUUAAUCACUUGCAGUAGUGUGGUCCUCGGAAUGGUACCCCUCUGCCACCCCAGGUGCGAGCCGUGGCAACGAGCCUUGGCAACCCUAGUGGGUCCUUUACUAUAGGCUUAUUAAUCACUUGCAGUAGUGUGGUCCUCGGAAUGGUACCCCUCUGCCGCCCCAGGUGCGAGCCGUGGCAACGAGCCUUGGCAACCCUAGUGGGUCCUUUACUAUAGGCUUAUUAAUUACUUGCAGUAGUGUGGUCCUCGGAAUGGUACCCCUCUGCCACCCCAGGUGCGAGCCGUGGCAACGAGCCUUGGCAACCCUAGUGGGUCCUUUACUAUAGGCUUAUUAAUUACUUGCAGUAGUGUGGUCCUCGGAAUAGUACCCCUCUGCCACCCCAGGUGCGAGCUGUGGCAACGAGCCUUGGCAACCCUAGUGGGUCCUUUACUAUAUACUUAUUAAUUACUUGCAGUAGUGUGGUCCUCGGAAAGGCACCCCUCUGCCGCCCCUUGCGAGAGCCGCGACCCCGUGUCACGGCCGCUUGAGUGGUUUUGAUUUCUUACAUUUUAAACAAAGUGUAUGCUGACUUCACAUAUUACCUUUCCUUACUCCUCUUGCCUGUGGGACUGUUUCGAUGGGUUCUACAUGUGUCUCCUACCAUCUCUUGCACCUUAGUGCCGCUGUCUCCUUUCAGCAGAUAUACAUGGUCAAUUGCUCUGGUUUAGAUGGGAAAGUUCUUAUUUCCUUUAACAUGUUAGUUAAAUUUUUGGAGGGGGAGGGGAUUAACUUCUACUGAAAUAACUGCUGUCCUGGGCUCUGCUUUGUCAUAACUGUGCAGGACGUUAAUUUCAAUUAUCUUUACUCACUUUUUUAAAUAAUAAUUGGGCACGAUACUUGCUUCUUGCUUGUAAACGAAUUGAAUCAAGGGGAUGUAUUAUAAGGAAUUUGAAGCUAAAUUCGAACUAUGAUGGCUGAAUUUUCUUAUCAUUAUGGGUAUGUUUUCUAUUUCCUGUUGUCUUUGCUGUACUUUCUUUCCCACAGGCCUUACUCUGGCUUCAUCACAUUGGAUUGUCAGCCCUCCCUUCCGGGUGUUUAGGAAUAGAUAACUUAACCAAAUGAAAGGUGGAAUGGAGGACUUCACGAUGUCUACUUGGUGGCUUUCCUGUACUCUGGGAAGAAUGUGUGUCAGCGUUCCAAGAGUCCAAUGGAUGAUACUUUUCUUAAACCCAGAUAGGUCCAUAUAUGUCAGUUGAACUAAACUCAGCUACCUUCAAGAUGACUUGCAGACGCCAUUUUAACUUCUGCUAAGUCUGUGUACGGAUGUCUUGCAUCAUCACUGAACAAUAUCUCCCGGAUGCCCUACAGAUCUAGCAGGAUGCCACAAAGCAACAGCUCAAGCAAACCUUUUUAUUUCAUUAUUAUCUGAUCUGUUUCCCAGUACCAAAUAAUAUGUUGCCCACUUACCUACUUCAAUCAACUAUCUGUAACAUUUCUUCCCAGGCUUGUCAUGUUACUAAAUAUUCGUAGCCACGCACCGUUUCUGUUUGAGCUACAAUUUUUCUUUAAUUCCGUCAUAAGAUUUAUCAUAACCUGCUCUUAUUUCUGUCUGUGUUAUUAAUUUGUACUAUGUUUCAUAAAAUAAAUGUGCAACUGUGAAUUGCAUCCAUCUACGUUAUUUCUAGUCUUCAUACUUGGUGAGAGGGGUAGGCCACCCCAGAGAGAAUUAGUUGCCUUCAGUCUGGAAAGAUAUACGAGA